AGAGUUUGAUCCUGGCUCAGGAUGAACGCUAGCGGCAGGCUUAACACAUGCAAGUCGAGGGGCAGCAUGGGGAGUAGCAAUACUCUCUGAUGGCGACCGGCGCAAGGGUGCGUAACGCGUGAGCAACUUGCCCUCAUCAGGGGAAUAAUCGCUGGAAACGGCGUCUAAUGCCCCAUGGCGAUGGAAUCAGGCAUCUGGUUCCAUCUAAAGAUCCGUCGGAUGAGGAUAGGCUCGCGUGACAUUAGCUUGACGGCGGGGUAACGGCCCACCGUGGCGACGAUGUCUAGGGGUUCUGAGAGGAAGGUCCCCCACACUGGAACUGAGACACGGUCCAGACUCCUACGGGAGGCAGCAGUGAGGAAUAUUGGUCAAUGGCCGGAAGGCUGAACCAGCCAUGCCGCGUGAAGGUCAGUGCCCUAUGGGCGUUAAACUUCUUUUGUGCGGGAGCAAUAAGGUCCACGUGUGGACCGACGAGAGUACCGUACGAAUAAGCAUCGGCUAACUCCGUGCCAGCAGCCGCGGUAAUACGGGGGAUGCAAGCGUUAUCCGGAUUUAUUGGGUUUAAAGGGUGCGUAGGCUGUGAGGUAAGUCAGCGGUGAAAUGCCCCCGCUCAACGGGGUGAAGUGCCAUUGAUACUGCCUUGCUGGAAUGCGGAUGCCGUGGGAGGAAUGUGUGGUGUAGCGGUGAAAUGCAUAGAUAUCACACAGAACACCGAUUGCGAAGGCAUCUCACGAAUCCGCGAUUGACGCUGAUGCACGAAAGCGUGGGUAUCAAACAGGAUUAGAUACCCUGGUAGUCCACGCUGUAAACGAUGAUGACUAACCGUCGGCGAUACACAGUCGGUGGCCAAGCGAAAGCGAUAAGUCAUCCACCUGGGGAGUACGGCCGCAAGGCUGAAACUCAAAGGAAUUGACGGGGGCCCGCACAAGCGGAGGAACAUGUGGUUUAAUUCGAUGAUACGCGAGGAACCUUACCCGGGCUCGAACGGCAGCUGAAUAUUCCAGAGAUGGGAUAGUCUUCGGACAGUUGUCGAGGUGCUGCAUGGUUGUCGUCAGCUCGUGCUGUGAAGUGUCGGCUUAAGUGCCAUAACGAGCGCAACCCUUGCCUUCAGUUGCCAUCAGGUUAAGCUGGGGACUCUGGAGGGACUGCCACCGCAAGGUGCGAGGAAGGGGGGGAUGACGUCAAAUCAGCACGGCCCUUACGUCCGGGGCGACACACGUGUUACAAUGGCAGGUACAGCGGGAAGCCACCGGGCGACCGGGAGCGGAACCCGAAAACCUGUCUCAGUUCGGAUCGGAGUCUGCAACCCGACUCCGUGAAGCUGGAUUCGCUAGUAAUCGCGCAUCAGCCAUGGCGCGGUGAAUACGUUCCCGGGCCUUGUACACACCGCCCGUCAAGCCAUGGGAGCCGGGGGUACCUGAAGUGCGUAACCGCAAGGAGCGCCCUAGGGUAAAACUGGUGACUGGGGCUAAGUCGUAACAAGGUAGCCG
rnacentral:rRNA from 1 species